rnacentral:tRNA from 5 species
CAUUAAGUGACUGAAUGCAAGUAAUGGUCUCUUAAACCACAUAAUAGUAAAUUAGCAAUUACUCUUAAUGA